GCGGCGCUGGCUGGCUCCCUGGCUGCGAGUCCUCAGUCGGCGGCGGCUGCUGCUGCCUGUGGCCCGGGCGGCUGGGAGAAGCGGAGUGUUGGUGAGUGACGCGGCGGAGGUGUAGUUUGACGCGGUGUGUUACGUGGGGGAGAGAAUAAAACUCCAGCGAGAUCCGGGCCGCGAACGAAAGCAGUGACGGAGGAGCUUGUACCACCGGUAACUAAAUGACCAUGGAAUCUGGAGCAGAGAACCAGCAGAGUGGAGAUGCAGCUGUAACAGAAGCUGAAAGCCAGCAAAUGACAGUUCAAGCCCAGCCACAGAUUGCCACAUUAGCCCAGGUGUCCAUGCCAGCAGCUCAUGCAACAUCAUCUGCUCCCACCGUAACUUUAGUGCAGCUGCCCAAUGGGCAGACAGUUCAAGUCCAUGGAGUUAUUCAGGCGGCCCAGCCAUCAGUUAUUCAGUCUCCACAAGUCCAGACAGUUCAGUCUUCCUGUAAGGACUUAAAAAGACUUUUCUCCGGAACUCAGAUUUCAACUAUUGCAGAAAGUGAAGAUUCACAGGAGUCAGUGGAUAGUGUAACCGAUUCCCAAAAACGAAGAGAAAUUCUUUCAAGGAGGCCUUCCUACAGGAAAAUUUUGAAUGACUUAUCUUCUGAUGCACCAGGAGUGCCAAGGAUUGAAGAAGAGAAGUCUGAAGAGGAGACUUCAGCACCUGCCAUCACCACUGUAACGGUGCCAACUCCGAUUUACCAAACUAGCAGUGGACAGUAUAUUGCCAUUACCCAGGGAGGAGCAAUACAGCUGGCUAACAAUGGUACCGAUGGGGUACAGGGCCUGCAGACGUUAACCAUGACCAAUGCAGCUGCCACUCAGCCGGGUACUACCAUCCUGCAGUAUGCACAGACCACUGAUGGACAGCAGAUCUUAGUGCCCAGCAACCAAGUUGUUGUUCAAGCUGCCUCUGGAGAUGUACAGACAUACCAGAUUCGCACAGCACCCACUAGCACCAUUGCCCCUGGAGUUGUUAUGGCGUCCUCCCCAGCACUUCCUACACAGCCUGCUGAAGAAGCAGCACGAAAGAGAGAGGUUCGCCUCAUGAAGAACAGGGAAGCAGCACGAGAAUGUCGUAGAAAGAAGAAAGAAUAUGUGAAAUGUCUAGAAAACAGAGUGGCAGUGCUUGAAAACCAAAACAAGACACUGAUUGAGGAGCUAAAAGCACUUAAGGACCUUUACUGCCACAAAUCAGAUUAAUUUGGGAUUUAAAUUUUCACCUAUUAUGGUGGAAAAAGGACUGGCUUGGCCACAACCAGAAAGACGAAAUAAACAUUUAUUUUCUAAACAUUUCUUUUUUUCUAUGCGCAAAACUGCCUGAAAGCAACUACAGAAUUUCAUUCAUUUGUGCUUUCGCAUUAAACUGUGAAUGCUCCAACACCUGCCUCCACUUCUCCCCUCAAGAAAUUUUCAGCACCACGAAUCAUGAAGAGACUUCUGCUUUUUAUCCCCCGCCCUCUUCAAGAAGUAAUAAUUUGUUUACUUGUAAAUUGAUGGGGGAAAUGAGGAAAAGAAAAUCUUUUUUUAAAUGAUUUCAAGGUUUGUGCUGAGCUCCUUGAUUGCCUUAGGGACAGAAUUACCCCAGCCUCUUGAGCUGAAGUAAUGUGUGGGCCGCAUGCAUAAAGAUGAACAGAGUUUAUGAAGGAGCACCAUUCUAAGAAUUGAGUGAUGUAGUCUUAUAUCUGGACAGUUCACCAGAUUCUCAAGAAGGCUUUCAAACGACUGUAAAUUUUGUUGUUUAUCCUGCUGAGCUAAUGGGGAAAGUUAUAGUGUAAAAAUUAUUUGUAUACCUGCAUAGAUGUGUCAGUUUUCCAAAACUGGUUUAAUAGAAACCAAGCAAAAUCACAAAUCAAUUCACAAACUAGAAGUCUUUCUUAAUGAGUCAGAAUGUCAGACGUGAACGUUUUAAAAGUCAUAAGCUUUAUAAAUGAAAAUUGCCUAGUAUUUAGCAAGUUAAAUGUUUUCAAAAGUUGAGGCUUUCUAUUUAAUUAGAAAGUUGGUGGUCCUCUUAGUCCCUGAUAAAUCAAGGCAAGUCACAUCCAUAUUAGCUGGCUGAAUUUAUAAGUUAUAAAAGACUGAUUGCACUGGUUUGAAGUCAGUUACUUAAUGGUGAGGUAAGAAAUGUAUUCUGUUGCUAAAUCUGUUUAGACCCUUGGAGAGACUUGAAGAUUUCAGUUUAUACAGAUAGAAAUUAAGCAUAUUUUGAGCAAACUUUUUUUUUAAGAGAAUUGGGAAAAAGGUGUUUGUUUUUAAGCAUGCAACUUUGAGAAUCUUUGUUAAGAAAACAUAAUUUUUAAAAAUCUUAUAGCCAAUAACAUGUGGCCACAUUAUAAAUGUUUUUUCUCUUCAUAUUGGCCAAAAGGGAAUAAAAAUGUCAUCAUAGGAAUCUGUACAUAUGCUACUGAUUUGCCUAGAAAAUAGCAAGUUUGGUAUUGCUCACUUUGCAAAUAUAGGGCCAUGUGGCACUUUUAUCUAUAGGACAGAUUAACUCUAAUAAAAAUGAAGUGGGAGGGGUUUAUUUUUUAUAUAUUGCUCUUAUGAGUUUUCAGGCUUUGAUAGUGUUUAACUGAAAAGUGGUUUAGAAAGGGCUAGAUCCAAUGUGUUCACAUUAUUAAAAAAAAUUGAUACCAGAUGUAAUUUUUAAGUUCAUUUUUCAAACUGAAGUACCAUAUUGGCAACCAUAAUAUUGUCAUAGGUGCUCUGUUCAUUUAGAUAUUCCUGGCGGGGGGGAAUGGCAUUUGUAUAUGUGUACAUAUAUAUAUAUAUACAUACAGUAUAUAAUCUGAAGCUCUGAGAGCUCUUAAGUCAGGAAUGCUGAGUACUAUAGUAUACUGAGGUCGGAUGAAAUUUUACAUUUUUGUGUAUUUUAUUGCAUCACUUUUGGUAGUUUCUUGGACUGAAUUACCCCAGCACUCAUGAUUGAUGCUUUUUAAUCUCCUGAUUUUCUUCUAAGUGUUUUUUUUUUAAUUGUCAGUUUUCUUUGGCUUGAUACUUUUAAAUCUGUUACUAGUCACUUGAACCACCACCACCACCCCCCAAAAAAGUAUUUGGUUUUUAUGCUUUGUCUCUGGCAGCUAUAACAGUGGUAAGAACAUUUUGAAGAUAGCUUCUCAAAGGUACCACUGAUUUUUCAAAAAUCAUCCUGGGGGAGAAUUUUUGGUGUUUUCAUUUGAGCAGGGAUUUUUGUCAGAAAAUGUAUCUUGAUGGUAAGUCAGCAGCAGUCCUAGUAUCUGAAAGCACAAUACCAGUCAGGCAGGCUGUCCGAUCAGAAGUCAUCUGGCUGAAGUUUAUCUCUGUCUCUCAGGCCUAAUCCCUGAUCCUUUUGACCAUUUGGGGUGACAUGUGGAAUCAUACAAAGGCUUAGGAAGAAACAAGUUUGUUUAAACCACGAUGCUUUUACUUACUUUAAGUGACUUCAAUCUAGAUUUCAUUUUUAAUGUUUUUAGUUCUGUGAUCAGCUGUAGUCAGCUAUCAGCAUAUAUUGGUCUCUUUAUUUUGAAGAUCAGAAGGCUGCUUCAUUUUGCAGGAUUUAAAAUAAGGCUAAUAUCUUAAAGUUAAGAUUUUGAAUUAAAGUGGGUUUUAGAGACAACUGUUACACACCUUUUCAGUUUUUUCAAGAGGCUUUAUUUGUUGCCUUUGUAACCCUGAGAACUGUUGGUAUAUUGUUUCCCAUUGACUUAAUACAAAAGUUGUAUAUUUAUUUGGAUUAUUUUUACAUUAUAUUCUUUGUAAAUGUUUGGUGUAACUUGCACUUUUAAAAAUGACCCUGUUUGGGUAUUAGCAAACUUGAGAAAUUCCCUCAUCAGUUAAUUGUCAUCUGACUUUUUAUGUCUUUCUCCUCUCUUCAAAUCAUGUGGCUUUUUUUAUGGAAGCUUUUUUCAUUGAUUAAAAUAUUUUAACACCUAAAGGCUAGCCUUAUAAACGCUGUAAAAGAAAAAUAUCAGGAAAUUAGAUUAGACUAGCCCAAUUAAUUAAAAGAUGGGUUCAAACCCUAUCUUACUCUCUUUCAUCAUGGACAGAUAGAAGGAAAAGCAACUCAAGUGAAUAAAUAUUUAUUUCCAAUUUUAAAUAAGACUGUCCUCACCCCAACAUUAAUACUGUUUAUAGGAUCCCAAGAUAUCCUUGAAUUUGUCUAGAACAGUAAAAGACUUCUCAAGGCAAUUAAUCAUUAUUAUCAUGGAGAACACAUAAUAAUUUGAUUAAAUUUUUUUCACUUUAAAUUGUCUUUGUUAACAUCAAAAAAUGCAUAAAUUUGACUGAUUUCAGAUGAGGAGGGGAAAAGUGAGGUAUGCUUAAGUAAGCCUGUAGGUGAAGAAUUGUGGUAUAAAUUUGUUCAGUCAGUUGUACAAAGCACAACUAGAACUUUUUGUUGGAUGUCUUACAUACAUCUUGAAUACUUCUAAUGUUGAUAUGUUGACUUUUUUAAGUUGACUGCACAGUCACUGUAUGUACUAGGAACUGGUUUCCUUAACUUUCUAGAAUCAACGGCUAAGAGAGGCACUAAUCCCUGAGGGGUCGAACAUAUCAUGAAGCUGAGUCAGUAUGGAAGAAUUUCAAAUAAAUCAAACAGGGUGCUGAAGUUCCAUCUGUCUCAUCUGCUUAUGAUAAGUUCUUAUUGAGGAGUGAAUGUAGCUUAAGCCUUUGUAUGUGUCCUCAGGGGGCAAACUUUUAAGAGGGACCAGAUAACGUUUGAAUGGAGGGAUUAUAUUUCAGGUGUUUUAGCUUGAAAUUUAUUUUUUAAAAAAAUUAAAAUAGGAAAAAAAAUAGAACAAAGCCUGUGAAGCAAUUUGAUAUUAUAAACAGGCUGAGUUGUUUAGCACAGAGAGAAAAUAUUGACCUGUCUGCAUUCUGGUACUGUGCAUACAGGUCCUAGCUGGGUAAAACACGAUACAUUUUGAGUUAUUCUCACCGGCAAGUAAAAGGAAAAUAAAUGAACAGUCUUCAGGAAAUGUCUUUGAAAGGGUCAUACAGUAGGAAAUUCAAAUUUUACCUACUUUAUAGAGGCAUUAUUUAAUACUUGCCUACAGAAGUAUGGCAUUUCUAAGCUCGUGUCUGAGGAGCAUCUCGGAGAUGUGAGAGUAAAUCUAAAGUAGUUUAAAAAUUGGUAGGGAAGGAAGACAAUCCCUGCAGAUAAUGAUCUUACGUUAGUUGGCCGAGUGAAAUGAUCUAUCAUUGUGUUUGGGAGGUUUUAUUUUCUUAUGUUUUUAAAAUUGAAUUGGUAUAUGCUUUAUAGACAUUGUAUUUUUAUCCAGGUGCCACUCCAAUUUGUGUAUGUAAUAAAAUUAUUUAUAUUAAAAGUGGGAAAUAAUUCGUCAACAUUUUUCUGUGAGUAUAGGUUAGGAUGGCAAAGAAGAGUGCUAGUUUGCAGUUUUCCAUGUAAAGUCCCCGACUGAUUUGUCACGUCAGCUGUCAUCCCCCCCAAGAAGAGGAAUUAUUUCUAACCUAGCUGUUAUCACUUGAAACUUUAGAAACAAAAUAAUCAGGGAAGUUUCUAGAGAGAAAGGUGUUUGUUUGGGUUUUUGAUUUUGGUUUUGUGGGUGGUUUUUUUUUUUUUUUGGUUUUUGCUUGAGGAUUGGGGUAAAGAAUACCUCCCCCCAAAACUAUCAGCACAAAACAGGGUAUUGAUUUUUAACUCUGAUGUUGCUAUUGGAGUUGAAUACUAAAUAAGUAAUUAUAGUGAGGGAAAUACAUUUCUAAUAAAAUUCCCUACAUUCUAGAAACAUCCCUGUUUUAAUUUUUUUACCUAAAUCUUUUUGUGCUUUAUCUGUGUAAAGAGAAAAAAAUGUACUGAGCUAUAAUGGAUUUUAUUAACACUAUGUACAUAUUAGCUGCUUUGUGUUCAGAAUGGUAGCAAUUGCUUUGUAUAUUAAAGUGAUCCUUGUGAAUUUGUGAAAUAUUGUCAUAAAGUGCUUUUUCUUACUGUAAUCUUUGUGGUAUCAACUGUCAUAAUGCCCUUUUUACACAAACAUUUAUGUGCAGUCACAUAAACGUGCUUUUAAAAACUCCAUAA